rnacentral:rRNA from 1 species
CCUACGGGAGGCAGCAGUGGGGAAUCUUGCACAAUGGAGGAAACUCUGAUGCAGCGAUGCCGCGCGAGCGAAGAAGGCCUUUGGGUUGUAAAGCUCUUUUGUAGGGGAAGAUAAUGACUGUACCCUAAGAAUAAGGUCCGGCUAACUUCGUGCCAGCAGCCGUGGUAAUACGAAGGGACCUAGCGUAGUUCGGAAUUACUGGGCGUAAAGCGCGCGUAGGCCGUUGAGUUAGUUAAUUGUGAAAUCCCAAAGCUUAACUUUGGAACUGCAAUUAAAACUGCUCGACUAGAGUUUGAUAGAGGAAAGCGGAAUACAUAGUGUAGAGGUGAAAUUCGUAGAUAUUAUGUAGAACACCAGUUGCGAAGGCGGCUUUCUGGAUCAACACUGACGCUGAGGCGCGAAAGUAUGGGUAGCAAAGAGGAUUAGAUACCCUCGUAGUCCAUACCAUAAACGAUGAUUGCUAGAUGUUGGAAAUUUAUUUUCAGUAUCGCAGCUAACGCAUUAAGCAAUCCGCCUGGGGAGUACGACCGCAAGGUUAAAACUCAAAGGAAUUGACGGCUGAGANGCGAGACGACACGAGGAGAG